rnacentral:rRNA from 1 species
UACGUAGGGUGCAAGCGUUAUCCGGAAUUAUUGGGCGUAAAGAGCUCGUAGGCGGUUUGUCGCGUCUGCCGUGAAAGUCCGGGGCUCAACCCCGGAUCUGCGGUGGGUACGGGCAGACUAGAGUGAUGUAGGGGAGACUGGAAUUCCUGGUGUAGCGGUGAAAUGCGCAGAUAUCAGGAGGAACACCGGUGGCGAAGGCGGGUCUCUGGGACGGUACUGACGCUGAGACGCGAAAGCGUGGGGAGCGAACAGG